rnacentral:rRNA from 1 species
GACGAACGCUGGCGGCGUGCCUAAUACAUGCAAGUUGAGCGAUGAAGAUUGGUGCUUGCACCAAUUUGAAGAGCAGCGAACGGGUGAGUAACGCGUGGGGAAUCUGCCUUUGAGCGGGGGACAACAUUUGGAAACGAAUGCUAAUACCGCAUAACAACUUUAAACAUAAGUUUUAAGUUUGAAAGAUGCAAUUGCAUCACUCAAAGAUGAUCCCGCGUUGUAUUAGCUAGUUGGUGAGGUAAAGGCUCACCAAGGCGAUGAUACAUAGCCGACCUGAGAGGGUGAUCGGCCACAUUGGGACUGAGACACGGCCCAAACUCCUACGGGAGGCAGCAGUAGGGAAUCUUCGGCAAUGGACGAAAGUCUGGCCGAGCAACGCCGCGUGAGUGAAGAAGGUUUUCGGAUCGUAAAACUCUGUUGGUAGAGAAGAACGUUGGUGAGAGUGGAAAGCUCAUCAAGUGACGGUAACUACCCAGAAAGGGACGGCUAACUACGUG